AUUGAACGCUGGCGGCAGGCCUAACACAUGCAAGUCGAGCGGAUGAAGGAAGCUUGCUUCCCGAUUCAGCGGCGGACGGGUGAGUAAUGCCUAGGAAUCUGCCUAUUAGUGGGGGAUAACUCGGGGAAACUCGGGCUAACACCGCAUACGUCCUACGGGAGAAAGUGGGGGCUCUUCGGACCUCACGCUAUCGGAUGAGCCUAGGUCGGAUUAGCUAGUCGGUGGGGUAAAGGCUCACCAAGGCGACGAUCCGUAACUGGUCUGAGAGGAUGAUCAGUCACACUGGAACUGAGACACGGUCCAGACUCCUACGGGAGGCAGCAGUGGGGAAUAUUGGACAAUGGGCGAAAGCCUGAUCCAGCCAUGCCGCGUGUGUGAAGAAGGUCUUCGGAUUGUAAAGCACUUUAAGUCGGGAGGAAGGGCUGUAGGCUAAUACCUUGCAGCCUUGACGUUACCGACAGAAUAAGCACCGGCUAACUUCGUGCCAGCCGCCGCCGUAAAAC
rnacentral:rRNA from 1 species